GUGGGGAAUAUUGGACAAUGGGCGAAAGCCUGAUCCAGCCAUGCCGCGUGUGUGAAGAAGGUCUUCGGAUUGUAAAGCACUUUAAGUUGGGAGGAAGGGCAGUAAGUUAAUACCUUGCUGUUUUGACGUUACCGACAGAAUAAGCACCGGCUAACUUCGUGCCAGCAGCCGCGGUAAUACGAAGGGUGCAAGCGUUAAUCGGAAUUACUGGGCGUAAAGCGCGCGUAGGUGGUUGUGUAAGUUGGAGGUGAAAUCCCCGGGCUCAACCUGGGAACUGCCUCCAAAACUGCAUGACUAGAGUACGGUAGAGGGUAGUGGAAUUUCCUGUGUAGCGGUGAAAUGCGUAGAUAUAGGAAGGAACACCAGUGGCGAAGGCGACUACCUGGACUGAUACUGACACUGAGGUGCGAAAGCGUGGGGAGCAAACAGGAUUAGAAACCCGAGUAGUCC
rnacentral:rRNA from 1 species